CAAGCACAGAGGCAGAUGUCUGUAAUUGGACUAAGGGGGAUGUCAUUAGUAUUGAUUAAGUGCACAAUAUUUCUUGAAUUGUCUGUUUAGCUUUUGUACAAUAGAUCUUACGAAAGAAUGCACUUUGUGUUAUUGGAAACUGGUAAACAGGACUGUUCUUUUGCACCUUCAAAAUCAAUUUUGCGCCUCAUUAUCUGCUCCUGUUUUAAGUAAAUUAAAUGAUCCCUUCUACUGACUUCACGUGGAAGUGCCUGUGGCAGGCUUUGUUCUUUCUGGUGAGCCAAGCUCUGAGCUGUGUGUGGCAUUAGCAGAUGCAGGUGGCAGAGUAAUCGCAGUCCCCUUGCACAACUGUGUGAUACCAGCUCAGCAUUGCCUUUAUAGCCAGUAACACAGAAUGGAGAAGGACAUUUUCCCCAGUCCAGUCUUCUCAUAACAGGCAAAAGACUGAGGGGAAAAAAAAAAAGAAAAAAAAAAAAAAGAAAAAAGAAAAAAAAAAAAAGUUGUAAAAUCUCAUCUCUUAUGAGAAAAAUGUGUUAGUGCAAGCCAUCUGGAAGGCUGCCAUGAGUCAGUCAUUCGGUGAAGACAUUUGAAGCUGGACAAAGAAUGUGUACAGUGUAUCCUGGAGACAAGGUAUGCCAGAGGCAGGACCAAUUCAAACAGCACUGCAGAAAUCCAGGACUGACUUGAAGGCUAUAAGGCAAUGCAUUGAUUCAAGAAAUGAAGAAGCAAGUUGUUAUUGGCAAUAUCAAGAAAUACAUCGUCUUCCAAUAUCUGGGUUUCAUACUGAGUUCAUAACCAGUAGAGUGGGAGGGCCUGCAAUCCAUUCUGGAGAAGCAAAUAAUGAAAUAACCUAACAUGACAAACCCAUGGCCUACUCCAGUUCACUGACCAAGGGUAAACAGCAGAAGUGGAGAGAAAACAGUUUUCCACUGGGAAAGAAACCAAAACACAUCUUUGGAAAAAUGUCUUUAGAAGAAAAUAAAAACAUAGAAUCUUUAACA
rnacentral:lncRNA from 1 species